rnacentral:rRNA from 1 species
CAGUAGCCACGGUAAUACGAAGGGGGCUAGCGUUGUUCGGAUUUACUGGGCGUAAAGCGCACGUAGGCGGACUUUUAAGUCAGGGGUGAAAUCCCGGGGCUCAACCCCGGAACUGCCUUUGAUACUGGGAGUCUUGAGUUCGAGAGAGGUGAGUGGAAUUGCGAGUGUAGAGGUGAAAUUCGUAGAUAUUCGCAGGAACACCAGUGGCGAAGGCGGCUCACUGGCUCAAUACUGACGCUGAGGUGCGAAAGCGUGGGGAGCAAACAGGAUUAGAUACCCGCGUAGUCCCUGUCUCUUAUAC